GGAAUAUUGGUCAAUGGACGAAAGUCUGAACCAGCCAUGCCGCGUGAGGGAUGAAUGCCCUCUGGGUUGUAAACUUCUUUUAUAUGGGACGAAAAACGACUUUUCCAAGUCACCUGACGGUACCAUAUGAAUAAGCACCGGCUAACUCCGUUCCAGCAGCCGCGGUAAUACGGAGGGUGCAAGCGUUAUCCGGAUUCACUGGGUUUAAAGGGUGCGUAGGCGGGUUGGUAAGUCAGUGGUGAAAUCUCCGAGCUUAACUUGGAAACUGCCAUUGAUACUAUCAAUCUUGAAUAUUGUGGAGGUCAGCGGAAUAUGUCAUGUAGCGGUGAAAUGCUUAGAUAUGACAUAGAACACCAAUUGCGAAGGCAGCUGGCUACACAUAUAUUGACACUGAGGCACGAAAGCGUGGGGAUCAAA
rnacentral:rRNA from 1 species